rnacentral:rRNA from 1 species
GACAGAGGUUGCAAACGUUGUUCGGAAUCACUGGGCAUAAAGCGCACGUAGGCGGUCUGUUAAGUCAGGUGUGAAAGCCCCCGGCUCAACCGGGGAACAGCAUUUGAUACUGGCAGACUCGAGGAUGGUAGGGGUGAGUGGAACUCCAGGUGGAACGGUGAAAUGCGUAGAUAUCUGGAGGAACACCGGUGGCGAAAGCGGCUCACUGGACCAUCACUGACGCUGAGGUGCGAAAGCUAGGGUAGCAAACGGG